GACGAACGCUGGCGGCGUGCUUAACACAUGCAAGUCGAACGAGUGGCGAACGGGGGAGUAAUACGUGGGUAACCUGCCCUCUUUUUGGGAUACGCCAUGGAAACGGGGACUAAUACCGAAUAAAGGGGGACGGGCUCGCGGCCUAUCAGCUUGUUGAUGGGGUGAUGGCCUACCACGGCGGUGAGGGGUACCCGGCCUGAGAGGGUAACCGGCCACAUUGAGACUGAGAAGCGGCCCAGGGUACGACGGGGGGGGGAAGUGGGGGAUAUGGGAGAAAGGGCGAAAGAGUGAUGCAGCGAGGACGCGGAGGGGAUGAGGGCUUUCGAGUUGUAAACCUCUUGCGCAAUCGAACGGUUAGGUGGAGAAGAAGCGCCGGCUAACUACGUGCCAGCAGCCGCGGUAAUAC
rnacentral:rRNA from 1 species